GGAAAGAAAAUCUCAGCGUCACCAUGGACUCUGGAUUUUGCUACUGCUCCUUUUCCCACUCCACCUCUUGCUGACUGUGUGUCUUGGCUAAGUUUUCUCACUCUUCUAUCCCUCAGUUGCCUCAUCAGUAAAAGGGCAGUGGUAACACCAGCCUCUUUGGGCUGCUCUGUGCUGACUAGACGUGGUAUUACAUAAACAGCACUGGCACAGCCCUGCCUAGGGAAGUCACCCACAGAGGGCCCGUGUGUACAAAGGUGUUGCUUGUAUCCUCUGGCCAUCUCGGUGCCAUCUUCCUGGCUCCUAUCUCCAGCCAAUCAGUCACCUGACUUGAGAAGUAUCUCAAUUUGAGGCACUGGUAGCAAAAUAUAGGAAGCUAAACAAGUGAUGUAUGAUUAUCAGUGUCAGUUGAAUUCCAAAGGCAUCAAAAAAGGCAGUCAAUUCAAUCAGAGAGAGAUGGCGGAUUUUCUUCAUGUCUUCAGCAGACAGAUCUCCUGCUUCAGUUAAGCCAAAUCUGGUUUUCUGAACAUUAAAUUUCUAAAACACA
rnacentral:lncRNA from 10 species